rnacentral:rRNA from 1 species
AAAGAUUAAGCCAUGCAUGUCUAAGCACAUGCCUUAAUACGGUGAAGCCGCGAAUAGCUCAUUACAACAGCCAUCGUUUAUUAGAAUAUCGUUAUCCUACUUGGAUAACUGUGGCAAUUCUAGAGCUAAUACAUGCAAUAAAGCUCCGCCCGCAAGGAACGAGCGCAUUUAUUAGAAUAAAAACCAAUCGAGUUUCGGCUCGUAAUUUGGUGAAUCUGAAUAACUUUGCCAAUCGCACAGUCCUAGUACUGGCGAUGUAUCUUUCAAGUGUCUGCCUUAUCAACUUUCGAUGGUACGCUAUACGCCUACCAUGGUAGUAACGGGUAACGGAGAAUAAGGGUUCGACUCCGGAGAGGGAGCCUGAGAAACGGCUACCACAUCCAAGGAAGGCAGCAGGCGCGCAAAUUACCCACUUCCAGAACGGAGAGGUAGUGACGAAAAAUAACGAGACAGUCCUCUUCGAGGUCUGUCAUCGGAAUGGGUACAAUUUAAAUCCUUUAACGAGGAUCUAUUGGAGGGCAAGUCUGGUGCCAGCAGCCGCGGUAAUUCCAGCUCCAAUAGCGUAUAUUAAAGUUGUUGCGGUUAAAACGCUCGUAGUUGGAUCUGCGACCUCGAAGAACGGUCCCCCGAAAGGGUGGUCACUGUCUCUUCUAGUCUAAAUUCAAGUUGUCUUUAGGUGCUCUUUAUUGAGUGCUUAGAGCGACUAGAACGUUUACUUUGAAAAAAUUAGAGUGCUUAAAGCAGACGAAAUAGUCUGAAUAAGGUGCAUGGAAUAAUGGAAUAGGAUCUCGGUUCUAUUUUGUUGGUUUUCGGAGCCCGAGAUAAUGAUUAAGAGGAACAGACGGGGGCAUUCGUAUUUCGGCGCUAGAGGUGAAAUUCUUGGACCGCCGAAAGACGAACGACUGCGAAAGCAUUUGCCAAGAAUG